UACGUAGGGGGCUAGCGUUGUCCGGAAUCAUUGGGCGUAAAGAGCGCGUAGGCGGCCAGAUAAGUCCGGUGUGAAAGUCACAGGCUCAACCUGUGAAUGCCGCUGGAAACUGUCUGGCUUGAAUCUCGGAGGGGUCAGGAAUUCCCGGUGUAGAGGUGAAAUUCGUAGAUAUCGGAGGAACACCAGUGGCGAAGGCGCUGACCUGGACGAUGAUUGACGCUGAGGCGCGAAGCCAGGGAGCAAACGG
rnacentral:rRNA from 1 species